AGAUGUGAGGGUGAUCUGGCUGCGACAUCUGUCACCCCAUUGAUUGUAAAGGUUAAUUCGGCUGAUCUGGCUGGCUAGGCGGGUGCCCCCUUCCUCCCUCACAGCUCUAUGUGCGUCCCUCCCAAAGCUGCUCACUUCAUCAUAGAGGACAACCUUCCCCAAUAGAGGAGAGGACUGUUCUCCGGUCGAGGGUAUAUGAGUAGCUGCGCUCCCCUGCUAGGACCUCAAAACAAGCUCUCAAGAAAAGUGCAGAGCUGCCUUGGCUGAAGGCGGUGAGUGUAAGGUCCUUAACUGGGACACCCCUCAGUACUCCCAGGCAGCCCUGACUGGUUUUAAGACAACUGGCUGAGCAAUG
ensembl:misc_RNA 7SK 7SK RNA